UGGGGAAUAUUGCACAAUGGGCGCAAGCCUGAUGCAGCCAUGCCGCGUGUGUGAAGAAGGCCUUCGGGUUGUAAAGCACUUUCAGCGAGGAGGAAGGUGGUGGACUUAAUACGUUCAUCAAUUGACGUUACUCGCAGAAGAAGCACCGGCUAACUCCGUGCCAGCAGCCGCGGUAAUACGGAGGGUGCAAGCGUUAAUCGGAAUUACUGGGCGUAAAGCGCACGCAGGCGGUUUGUUAAGUCAGAUGUGAAAUCCCCGGGCUCAACCUGGGAACUGCAUUUGAAACUGGCAAGCUAGAGUCUCGUAGAGGGGGGUAGAAUUCCAGGUGUAGCGGUGAAAUGCGUAGAGAUCUGGAGGAAUACCGGUGGCGAAGGCGGCCCCCCUGGACGAAGACUGACGCUCAGGUGCGAAAGCGUGGGGCAGCAAACAGGAUUAGAUACCCUGGUUAGGUCCACGCUGUAAACGAUGUCGAUUUGGAGGUUGUGCCCUUGAGGCGUGGNUUCCGGAGCUAACGCGUUAAAUCGACCGCCUGGGGAGUAC
rnacentral:rRNA from 1 species